GACGAACGCUGGCGGCGUGCUUAACACAUGCAAGUCGAACGGACAGACAGAGAGCUUGCUCUCUUGAAGUUAGUGGCGAACGGGUGAGUAACGCGUAAUCAACCUGCCCUUCAGAGGGGGAUAACAACGGGAAACCGUUGCUAAUACCGCGUACGAUUCAUGAACGGCAUCGUUUAUGAAUGAAAGGUGGCCUCUAUGUAUAAGCUAUCGCUGAAGGAGGGGAUUUGGUCUGAUUAGCUAGUUGGAGGGGUAACGGCCGACCAAGGCAAUGAUCAGUAGCCGGUCUGAGAGGAUGAGCGGCCACAUUGGGACUGAGACACGGCCCAAACUCCUACGGGAGGCAGCAGUGGGGAAUCUUCCGCAAUGGACGAAAGUCUGACGGAGCAACGCCGCGUGAGUGAUGAAGGUCUUCGGAUUGUAAAGCUCUGUUAAUCGGGACGAAAGAGUUCUGCGUGAAUAAUGCAGAAAAGUGACGGUACCGGAAUAGAAAGCCACGGCUAACUACGUGCCAGCCGCCGCCGUAA
rnacentral:rRNA from 1 species